rnacentral:rRNA from 1 species
UGGUAAGGUGACGGCUUACCAAGGCGACGAUCAGUAGCCGACCUGAGAGGGUGAUCGGCCACAUUGGAACUGAGACACGGUCCAAACUCCUACGGGAGGCAGCAGUGGGGAAUAUUGCACAAUGGGCGAAAGCCUGAUGCAGCAACGCCGCGUGAGCGAUGAAGGCCUUCGGGUCGUAAAGCUCUGUCCUCAAGGAAGAUAAUGACGGUACUUGAGGAGGAAGCCCCGGCUAACUACGUGCCAGCAGCCGCGGUAAUACGUAGGGGGCUAGCGUUAUCCGGAAUUACUGGGCGUAAAGGGUGCGUAGGUGGUUUCUUAAGUCAGAGGUGAAAGGCUACGGCUCAACCGUAGUAAGCCUUUGAAACUGGGAAACUUGAGUGCAGGAGAGGAGAGUGGAAUUCCUAGUGUAGCGGUGAAAUGCGUAGAUAUUAGGAGGAACACCAGUUGCGAAGGCGGCUCUCUGGACUGUAACUGACACUGAGGCACGAAAGCGUGGGGAGCAAACAGGAUUAGAUACCCUGGUAGUCCACGCCGUAAACGAUGAGUACUAGCUGUCGGAGGUUACCCCCUUCGGUGGCGCAGCUAA